AUUGAACGCUGGCGGCAGGCCUAACACAUGCAAGUCGAGCGAGUGGCGGACGGGUGAGUAAUGUCUGGGAAACUGCCCGAUGGAGGGGGAUAACUACUGGAAACGGUAGCUAAUACCGCAUACCAUCAGAUGUGCCCAGAUGGGAUUAGCUAGUAGGUGGGGUAACGGCUCACCUAGGAGACGAUCCCUAGCUGGUCUGAGAGGAUGACUAGCAACACUGGAACGGAGACACGGUCCAGACUCCUACGGGAGGCAGCAGUGGGGAAUAUUGCACAAUGGGCGAAAUCCUGAUGCAGCCAGGCCGCGUGUUUGAAGAAGGCCUUCGGGUUGUAAAGUACUUUCAGCGGGGAGGCGUUACGCGCAGAAGAAGCACCGGCUAACUCCGUGCCAGCAGCCGCGGUAAUUC
rnacentral:rRNA from 1 species